rnacentral:rRNA from 1 species
CCUACGGGUGGCAGCAGUCGAGAAUCAUUCACAAUGGGGGAAACCCUGAUGGUGCGACGCCGCGUGGGGGAAUGAAGGUCUUCGGAUUGUACACCCCUGUCAUGUGGGAGCAAAUUAAAACGCUAGUACCGCAAGCGAAAGAGCCGGCUAACUCGGUGUCAGCAGCCUCCGUACUACCGAGGUCUCAAGCGCUGUUCGGAAUCACUGGGGGUAAAGCGUUCGUAGGCUGUUUCGUAAGUCGUGUGUGAAAGGCGCGGGCUCAAACCGCGGACGGCACAUGAUACUGGGAGACUAGAGUAAUGGAGGGGUAACCGGAAUUCUCGGUGUAGCAGUGAAAUGCGUAGAUAUCGAGAGGAACACUCGUGGCGAAGGCGGGUUCCUGGACAUUAACUGACGCUGAGGCACGAAGGCCAGGGGAGCGAAAGGGAUUAGAUACCCCAGUAGUC